rnacentral:rRNA from 1 species
UACGUAGGGUGCAAGCGUUGUCCGGAAUUAUUGGGCGUAAAGAGCUCCGUAGGCGGUUUGUCGCGUCUGCUGUGAAAACCCGAGGCUCAACCUCGGGCCUGCAGUGGGUACGGGCAGACUAGAGUGCGGUAGGGGAGAUUGGAAUCCUGGUGUAGCGGUGGAAUGCGCAGAUAUCAGGAGGAACACCAAUGGCGAAGGCAGAUCUCUGGGCCGUAACUGACGCUGAGGAGCGAAAGCAUGGGGAGCGAACAGG